UUAACGGCGCUUAUAAGCGCCACUAUAGGCCCAAAAAAAUGCCG
rfam:Gossypium arboreum cultivar AKA8401 contig_118920_1, whole genome shotgun sequence.